rnacentral:misc_RNA from 1 species
AAGUCGUAACAAGGUUUCCGUAGGUGAACCUGCGGAAGGAUCAUUAACACUUUUUCAAAAAGGUUUUUCUUUUAAGAAAAACUUAUUUCUACCCACCUUUUGGAUGAACUUUUUUGAUGGAGAUAUGACAAUAUUUUGUUGUUAUAUUCUUUAUCAUUUUAUUCAUUAUUUCAAACUUUUUAACCCCAAAACACCAAUUUAUUUACAAAUUGCUAUAUCUUGAAAAAGCCUAACAUGUGUGUGGGUUUGUGUUGUGUGAUCAAUGCAAGUUGAUCACCUCCACCAAACUUAUCACUCAAGAAAUCCUAAAAACUAAGAAAACAACUCUUAACAACGGAUAUCUUGGCUCUC